AUUCAGCUGACGAGUCCCAAAUAGAACGAAACGCGCGUCAAACUGGUAU
rnacentral:hammerhead_ribozyme from 1 species